GACCUUCUCGUGCUCCGUGACAGAAACCGCUAAAGGACGUCCUGAUUGGCUGACAGUGCACUUCCUGCUCUCAUCAGCAUACUAGUUGCUGCCAAAGUGUGAGAGGUCCGGCUGGUGUGUGGGCACUUGAUGAAGCAGAGGGAUCGAUGGAGUGAGGAAUGAUGAAGAAAUGAGUGGCUGGGAGAGACAAACUGCAAAAAUGACUGUGACACAUUUGGUGAUGGUAGGAAGAAACUUCCAAAGAGAGGAGAAGGAGGAGGAGGAUGAGGGAGGUGAACAGUUACUUCCAAUUCCGAGCUUCUUAUCCAGUCUGUGUAUGUAGAAAAUCCAGACUCUCUCUCUGCCAGAGAACUUCACGGAUUAUCUUCUCAGUUGGCUGCAUUUGGGUUUCAAGUCUCCUCUCGCUACUUGUGAACGAACCUGGCUCACCCUCCACCGUGCUCCCCUCAAAGAUCAUCCACCUGGUACCACCUCCACCUCAAGUGCAUGUAAAACAGAAUUACCUGGACCUUUCACUUACCCGACACACUCCCGGAGUUUUCAAUCAUCUACCUACUCCUCCCCCCUUAGCGGAUCUCCUAAUCACCCUCUGUAAGCAAAAAUAUAUCAAGAUCAACAUCCCAGAAUUUUACCUGUCACUUACCAUUGAUCCCUUCUCCAUACAGUGGCGAGUUCUUAUUUCUCCAGCAAUCGGAAUAUUUCUUAAUAAACUUGUUAAAACUUUUCCUGUUUUCCUGAGUGAAUUUCUGCAUGUGGGUCAAAGCAACUAGAAAAACGUUGACAGAACACUCAGGCCAAUCUGACCCAGCAGGUACACUCAGUAGGACUCUUUCAGAUCAUAGCCUCCAGAUCCAGUCCCACAGAAACUCACUUCGAUCAUUCCUGGAACAACAACGCCACACAAACCAACAAAUUGAACAGAUGUCUUCUUUACUCCAGCAUGCUCGGAACAGUCUAAGCCCCGCUGUACCAGGGAGCGCCGCUGAGUCUGCUAUCUCACAGCAACUUCCUCAUUCCCGUGAUGUCAUUUCCCCCAAUCCGAAGAAGUUUUCCGGUGAGGUUGGUAGUUGUGGAGGUUUCCUCCUACAGUGCUCCCUGGUGUUUAAUCGCUCUCCACCAUCUUUUUCCCAUGACGACGUUAAAAUCUCUUUUAUUUCAGGACUCCAUCUGGAAAGGCACUAAGGUGGGCUGAGGCUUACCGAUCAUAAUCGCUUCGGCUGCACUUUUACUGAUUUUAUAAGUGAAUUUAAGCAGAUUUUUGACACUGAGUUAGACCAGACCAAUAAAGCCCGCCGCUUGUGGGCGUUAAAACAAAAAAAAUAAACCAAUUUUUGAGUUUUCUAUAGAAUUUCAUACACUAGGUUGGGAUUCCUGCACUCUCAAAGCCACCUUUUUCCAGUCCCUUGACGAAUCUUUGAAGGAUGAAUUAGUUUUGCCAGAUGAACCCAAGACUCUAAAUGAAUUUAUAGCUCUAGCUACUCAAGUUGAUAAUAGAUUGAGAGAUAGAAGAAAGUCACGUUUUGAAAGGUUUGCUGUGAGAUCACAGGCACCUCAGAGCUCAGCUGCAGCACCUCGCCCUGAACCACUUACACCUUCCCCUGAACCCAUGCAAAUUGGUCGAACUCAGCUCUCCCCUGAGGAACAUCAACGAAGAAUGGAAUCCAAACAGUGUUUAUACUGUGGCACACAUGGACACUCCAUCGCCUCUUGUCCAGUGCGACCAAGAGGAGUUUCACAAGUCCUCCGUUAUCUUCCUCGGAUUCAUCCUAGAGGGUAGGCAGGUUCGUUCAGACCUAGGCAAGAUUAAGGUUGUACUGGAAUGGCCCACUCCUGACUCAUGUAAACAGCUUCAAUGGUUUUUGGGCUUUGCCAAUUUUUAUAGAAGAUUCAUCAGAAACUACUGUCAAACUGCAGCCCCAUUAACCACUCUGACUUCCACUAAACACCCUUUUGAGUGGACUUCACAGGCAGAUGCAGUUUUUCAUAAGCUCAAGGACAGUUUCUCUCAAGCCCCCAUUCUCAUCCAUCCAAACCCGUCUAAACAAUUCACACUAGAAGUUGAUGCAUCUGACAUUGGGGGCUGUGCUAUCCCAGGUUUCUGACUCUGAUGGCAAACUUCAACCUUGUGCCUUUUUCUCCCGCACAUUCAAUCCAGCCGAGAGAAAUUAUGAUGUGGGAGACCAAGAACUCCUGGCAAUAAAACUGGCCCUGGAGGAGUGGCGUCAUUGGCUGGAGGGCGCUGAACACCCAAGUGUGACCUGGUUCCAAAAAUAUCAAGAGCGACGCCCACUCUCGACAGUUCUCCCGGAUGACUCUGUCAAGGAGCCUGUCCCCAUCCUACCGCAAAGUUGUGUUGUUGGAGCCCUAACGUGGGAUGUGGAAACCUUGGUAUCCCAGGCCCUCAGAGAUGAACCGGAUCCCAUCAACUGUCCGGUCCUGCCUUAUCCACUGGUUCAUUUAUCCUAGUUCUCUGCCCAUCCUGGUUUUUUGUCGAACCAUCGCCCUCAUCUCCAGAAGGUUUUGGUGGCCGUCCCUUCAUAGGGACGUUAAAGAGUAUGUACAAGCCUGUACUAUCUGUGCUAGAUAUAAGUCCUCUAACCAACCACCCGCAGGACUGUUGCAACCCUUUUGUGUUCCUAAGCGGCCCUGGUUCAUUAUAGCCCUUGACUUUGUCACCGGACUUCCCACUUCAAGAGGUGUGACCACAAACUUUUCCUGUUUUCCUGAGUGAAUUUCUGCAUGUGGGUCAAAGCAGCUACAAAAAUGAUGACACUUUCAUGGUAAUCAGAAAUUCAAGUUGGCUAAAAAAAGAAAUCUCCAUUGCAUAAAAGAAACAUUUGAAAUUUUAUUGUAAAAACACCACCAAGUCAUGAACAGUUUUGUACAAAUGAUUAUGCAUUAAGCAUACAAAAGACCCGCUCUGUUUGUAAAGGUUCAUGGAGGAACUGGUGCCUAUCUCCAGUGGUAUAUGGGCAAAAGGCAGAGUACACCCUGGACUGGUCGCCAGCCCAUUGUGGGGCAUCACAGAAACACACAACUAUUCACACCUAAGGGCAAUUAAGGGAGACCAAUUGACAUAACCGUCAUGUUUUUGGGCUGUAGGAGGAAUACGUAAUACAAAAAUUAUCGGGCAGCAUAGGAUAAAUUUUCACUGUUACGCUGAUUAUACUCAGCUUUA